GACGAACGCUGGCGGCGUGCUUAACACAUGCAAGUCGAACGAUGAAGCCUAGCUUGCUAGGUGGAUUAGUGGCGAACGGGUGAGUAAUACGUGAGUAACCUACCUUUAACUCUGGGAUAAGCCCGGGAAACUGGGUCUAAUACCGGAUACGACCAAUCUUCGCAUGGGGUGUUGGUGGAAAGCGUUAUGUAGUGGUUAUAGAUGGGCUCACGGCCUAUCAGCUUGUUGGUGAGGUAACGGCUCACAAAGGCGACGACGGGUAGCCGGCCUGGGAGUGUGACCCGCCACAGUGGGACAGGGACACGGGCAAGACGCCAACGGGAGGCAGCGGUGGGGACUAGUGCACAAUGGGCGCAAGCCUGAUGCAGGGUCGCCGGGUGGGGGAUGACGGCCUUCAGGUUGUAAACCUCUGUUAGGAGGGAAGAAGAGAGAUUGACGGUACCUGCAGGGAAAGCGCCGGCUAACUACGU
rnacentral:rRNA from 1 species